ACAAAAUUUUCGCAAACAUUUGAAUCUGAUCGCAUAUAUACGUUGAAGAGGCAUAAAUUGACGUUAAUUGGAAUAUGUAAGCUAUAUCUUAAACAAACACACACAUUGGCUUAGCUCAUACCUACUUACAAGACCAUUACGAUGGCGAUGCUUAGGCCCUUGGUGAGAUUAUUUAAAGCACUACGCAUUUUUAUCUUCCAAACAUUUAUGGGCGAUAGUGGAUAUCCGUUAGAACGUUAACGGCAGCACUGACGAACAACUUGAAAAAUGCAUUUGUUUAUAGGAAGGUCACUGGUAUAUUUCGUUGGAAGAAGAGCGUAAAAGCAGAUAUAUUCCAUAUCCCCCACAUUUGCAUACACUAAAAGUUCCAACUUGGGGAAGCAAAGAUUUGGAUUCAUUAGCGUCCGAAACAUAUUGAGGUGAUGUUGCCGAUGUCUUCGCAGACCUCUCAUAGUUAAGACAAUUGGGUGUAAAAAUAAGACUCUAAAAGUGAUGACCUGACACUUGUCUAUGCAAUAAUUGAUGCCGCAUGAUAGGUCCAAGUUAAUAAUAUGCCAAAAAAACGCAUCAAUAUUUACGAUCGAGGUUAUUUCUUCAACACACAAGCGUUGCUCGCAAAACUGAACCUAAAACGGUUAUCAUCACGGGCAGUUUGCCAGUCAUAAAAUCUGUCUAUCUAAAACCCAUCUAUCCAGCUAUUGAAGUUUCACUUGGGAAACUUUUAACAAAAUAGGAAAUACCCUUGCCACUUGCGGACAUAAAAUUGAAAUUGGCUUGAUGCAUAUUGGACUUCUGGGGAAUCAGCGAGUAAACAUAUCCAAAUCCACAGUUUUAACAUUUGCAAUUAUGGAUGACACAGUGGAAAAAUUUGGUCUCCG